AUGUUAAAGAGGCAGGAGUCUUUAUUGAUACCAUACAGUGCUCCUUCUCCAAAAGAGCAGAUGUCGCUAAAGGAAGAUUGCUGCCCGGAAAUGAUCUGCCAGCAACAUAGUUUUCGGAGACCCACUACUACAUCAUUCCUGAGUACCUGUCUCCGAGACAACUGUGGAUUAAAGGAUGAGAAGGAUGCUCAGGAGUACAUAUCCAGGUGGGUUCUCAUUGGGGUGUAUGAAGGUAAGUUCAUCAAAUAGGGAUGUCCUCGAAGGUAAGGGAAGUAAGGUUUAGCUUGUGAGGCUCUGUUCUUCUAUUCAGGUCACUUUUCCUCUUUCAUUUCUGACUCAUUUUUUUUUAAGAGGUUGGGAGGGAAGGUGGUAGGGAAAAAGGGAAUAUAAUUAUAUUCUUAGAAUUGUAACUAUGUACUAUAUUGAAUAUGUUAAAAACUAAUUUAAAAAGAGAGAGAGAAAGAAAUAUCUUCUAUCCACUGGUUCACUCCCCAGAGACCACAAUAGCUGAGGGCCCAGAACUACACUACCCACGUGGAGCGUGUAGCUUUCCCAGGCACAUUAGAAGGAGCUGGAUUGGAGGAGUAGUUGGAACUUGAACCAGUGCUCUUGUAGGUUGCUGGCGUUGGGGGUGGUGGCUUAACCUGCUAUAUCACAACACUGGGCUCUCUUACUAAUUGCUGCCUCUUCCCUGGGUCAGAGUUUUGGAAAGAAGGGAUGCGUGUUAAUCAUGUAAGGAAAAAUUACAGAAAGACUUUCCAAAAAAAUUUUUUUUAAAGAAAAAAGAAAAAAAAUUACUGGGUAUCCUGUGAAAUUUGAGGUCUGUCUAGGGUAUCCACCUGGAUUAUCUGACUUUAUAGUGGUCUAUUUCUCUAAUUGUCCUUGAAGUGGUUUUUAAUUUCUGCAAGUUGUAGAGAUCUUACAAAUUUUUCUUGUUAGCAUACCCAUAGAAUGGCAGAUGUCCUAAACAGCACUCUGGCCUCAGAAUCAGCCCUUAAGGCAUGCGGAUCUGGCUGAAAUGCCCAUGAGAGUAUUUCAGGCAUGGAAAGCCAAGACACUCUGGGGAAAAAAAAAAAAAACCUAAAUGAAAGUAAAUGAAAGAUCUCCGCGAGUGAGAUCCCAGUGGAAAGAACGGGUCAUCAAAGAAGGAGGUACCUUUCUCUGAAGGGAGGAGAGAACUUCCACUUUGACCAUGGCCUUGUCUAAAUAUGAUCAGAGUUGGUGAACUCAGAGGGCUUCCAUAGCCUUG
rnacentral:lncRNA from 1 species